AGAAUGGUACUUUAAAUAAAAGAAUUAAUUUGCACUUAAUAAAUAGAGGUUUCUCUUCAUUCUU
rnacentral:tRNA from 1 species